UGCAGGUGUGUGUGUGUGUGUGUGUGUGUGUGUGUGCGCGCGUGCACGCGCAUGGACA
rnacentral:miRNA from 10 species